AAAGAAGAGGAAUUCCUUACUAGUCCAUAUAACACACAUUGUAUUUAUUACGAACGAGUGCAAGGUUUAUUUCACGAAGUAAACACACGUGAUCGAUGUAUAACUGUUUGCGAAAAAGAGAUGUCAUUACUAAAAUGUGGAUGUGUUCCACGGGAUUAUCCUUUUCACACAGAUGAAGACUUUUGUACCGAUAAAGAUUUAUAUUGCGUUGACGAUAUAGACAUAACUCCAUGCUAUGAAAAAUGUAGAAUUGGGUGCG